rnacentral:rRNA from 1 species
UACGUAGGGUGCGAGCGUUAAUCGGAAUUACUGGGCGUAAAGCGUGCGCAGGCGGUUUUGUAAGCCCGAUGUGAAAUCCCCGGGCUUAACCUGGGAAUGGCAUUUGGGACUGCAAGGCUUGAGUUUGGCAGAGGAGACUGGAAUUCCUGGUGUAGCAGUGAAAUGCGUAGAUAUCAGGAGGAAUACCGAUGGCGAAGGCAGGUCUCUGGGCUAGAUCUGACGCUCAUGCACGAAAGCGUGGGGAGCAAACAGG